GGCUAACGCUGGCGGCGUGUCUUAGCCAUGCAAGUCGAGCGGACUUAUGGGGUAACUUAUAAGUCAGCGGCGGACGGCGGAGUAACACGUAGCUAACCUACCCUCUGGACGGGGAUAACCUACCGAAAGGUGGGCUAAUACCCGAUGUAGUCAUCCUGUAUAGGGGUGAUGAAAGGUGGGCUUCUGUUUACAAGCUCAUGCUGGAGGAGGGGGCUGCGGCCUAUUAGGUAGUUGGUAGGGUAAUAGCCUACCAAGCCGAUGACGGGUAGCCGGCCUGAGAGGGUGACCGGCCCGAGGGGCACUGAGAUACGGGUCCCACUCCUACGGGAGGCAGCAGGCUAGAAAUUUGGGCAAUGGGGGAAACCCUGACCCAGUGACGCCGCGUGCAGGAAGGAGCCCUUCGGGGUGUAAACUGCUGUCGUGUAGGGAGAAGGGUACUAAGGUGAACAAUCUUAGUACUUGACGGUACUACAGGAGGAAGCCCAGGCUAACCUCGUG
rnacentral:rRNA from 1 species